rnacentral:rRNA from 1 species
GACGAACGCUGGCGGCGUGCCUAACACAUGCAAGUCGAGCGAGAAUCUUUAAAUUGAUUCCUUCGGGAUGAUUUUUAAAGAGGAAAGCGGCGGACGGGUGAGUAACGCGUGAGUAACCUGCCUUCAGGAGGGGGACAACACUUCGAAAGGGGUGCUAAUACCGCAUAACAUUGUUUUAUCGCAUGGUAUUACAAUCAAAGAUUUAUCGCCUGAAGAUGGACUCGCGUCUGAUUAGAUAGUUGGUGGGGUAACGGCCUACCAAGUCGACGAUCAGUAGCCGAACUGAGAGGUUGAUCGGCCACAUUGGGACUGAGACACGGCCCAGACUCCUACGGGAGGCAGCAGUGGGGGAUAUUGCGCAAUGGGGGCAACCCUGACGCAGCAACGCCGCGUGAAGGAGGAAGGUUUUCGGAUCGUAAACUUCUUUAAGUGGGGAAGAUAGUGACGGUACCCACAGAAUAAGCCACGGCUAACUACGUGCCAGCAGCCGCGGUAACAC